AAUUUUUGAUGUUCUUAGAUUGAAACUUGUAAGAGUUUGUCUGGAAACAUUCUAUUUUUUUUUGGAUAUUUUCGGAGGUUUUGGAGCUUAUUGCUAUUGGGACAUAAAUUGAAUUUGGUAUGGUUAAACAAAAAGCAAAUUAUGCAGGUUUGGAAUUAAGGUGGGUGUUUGCUUUGGACUCAAUGGUAUACUAAUUGUCAUCAUAAUGAGGGAUUAAGACAGUGUGAGCGAGAUUUGUGUAGGGGUGGUGUAAUUUUAUUAGCCGUUUUGGUAUGGUGGUCGUGGGGUUUUGGAAUUGUUCGAUUAUCGGGUGGCAUCAAACCUGAGUCCUUACGCUCGAAUGAGCAAUUUAAAUAUUGUUAUAUAUAUAUGAAAAUA
rnacentral:lncRNA from 1 species